rnacentral:rRNA from 1 species
CGUACACUCCUACGGGAGGCAGCAGUGGGGAAUAUUGGACAAUGGGCGCAAGCCUGAUCCAGCCAUGCCGCGUGAGUGAUGAAGGCCCUAGGGUUGUAAAGCUCUUUCACCGGUGAAGAUAAUGACGGUAACCGGAGAAGAAGCCCCGGCUAACUUCGUGCCAGCAGCCGCGGUAAUACGAAGGGGGCUAGCGUUGUUCGGAUUUACUGGGCGUAAAGCGCACGUAGGCGGACUAUUAAGUCAGGGGUGAAAUCCCGGGGCUCAACCCCGGAACUGCCUUUGAUACUGGUAGUCUUGAGUUCGAGAGAGGUGAGUGGAAUUCCGAGUGUAGAGGUGAAAUUCGUAGAUAUUCGGAGGAACACCAGUGGCGAAGGCGGCUCACUGGCUCGAUACUGACGCUGAGGUGCGAAAGCGUGGGGAGCAAACAGGAUUAGAUACCCCAGUAGUCCCAUG